rnacentral:rRNA from 1 species
UACAGAGGGGGCCAGCGUUAUUCGGAAUUACUGGGCGUAAAGCGCGCGUAGGCGGCUUUGCAAGCCGGAUGUGAAAUCCCCGGGCUUAACCUGGGAACUGCAUUCGGGACUGCAUUGCUAGAGUAUGGGAGAGGGAAGUGGAAUUUCAGGUGUAGCGGUGAAAUGCGUAGAUAUCAAGAGGAACACCAGUGGCGAAGGCGAGUCCCUGGACAACACCUGACACUGAGGCACGAAAGCUAGGGGAGCAAACAGG